rnacentral:rRNA from 1 species
AUUGAACGCUGGCGGCAGGCCUAACACAUGCAAGUCGAGCGGAUGAAGCGAGCUUGCUCCUGGAUUCAGCGGCGGACGGGUGAGUAAUGCCUAGGAAUCUGCCUGGUAGUUGGGGAUAACGUCCGGAAACGGGCGCUAAUACCGCAUACGUCCUGAGGGAGAAAGUGGGGGAUCUUCGGACCUCACGCUAUCAGAUGAGCCUAGGUCGGAUUGGCUAGUUGGUGGGGUAAAGGCCUACCAAGGCGACGAUCCGUAACUGGUCUGAGAGGAUGUUCAGUCACAUGGGAAGUGAGACACGGUCAAGGCUCCUACGGGACGCCGCAGAGGGAAAUUUUAGGCAGUAGGCGCAAGCCUUUCACAGUCGUGGCACGUGUGUGUAGGAGGUGUUGGGAUUGUUAAGCCUGUUAAAGUGGGGGAAACUCCUGUAUGUUGUGACGUUGCUUUUUUGACGUUACCUACAGAAGAAGCACCGGCUAACUACGUG